UACGUAGGGUGCGAGCGUUGUCCGGAAUCACUGGGCGUAAAGGGCGCGUAGGCGGCCUGAUAAGUAGGGGGUGAAAUCCUGUGGCUCAACUGCAGGGCUGCCUCCUAGACUGUCGGGCUUGAGCACGGUAGAGGCAGAUGGAAUUCCCGGUGUAGCGGUGGAAUGCGUAGAGAUCGGGAAGAACACCUGUGGCGAAGGCGGCCACCUGGGCCGACCCUGACGCUGAGGCGCGAAGGCGUGGGGAGCGAACGGG
rnacentral:rRNA from 1 species